rnacentral:lncRNA from 1 species
UUUUUUUGUUUUCGUCUAGGUACUUUUCUAUUUAGGGGAGAAAUAACGGGGAUUGUGCCACUAAUUCCCUCCUAGAGCGUCAAACCCUCGUGACGACCUGUCGAAUUUGAGUAUGUGUAAGUAUUGUACGUACUUAUAAUUUACAGGAUUUUGCGGUGUGUAGCCGACUGGUUCAGUUUCCUAUUUUUUAUGGAGGUGAAAUUAUACACUGCACUGAUUUUAAUUUUGAAGUACUGAUUUAUUAUUUUAAAACAUGAAAACUAUGAAAACACUUAUAAACUUGAUAACUAUUUUGCUUUUGUAGUAUUUAAAUGAGAGAGAAUGAAAAAUUAACUUUUAGACGAGAACUUAACUUACAAAACGGUGAAAAUGCUGAGAGUGACGAAAAUAAGUGAGAGAAAAUGUGAGAGAAAUAACGGGGAUUGUGCCACUAAUUCCCUCCUACAGCGUCAAACCCUCGUGACGACCUGUCGAAUUUGAGUAUGUAUAAGUAUUGUACGUACUUAUAAUUUACAGGAUUUUGCGGUGUGUAGCCGACUGGUUCAGUUUCCUAUUUUUUAUGGAGGUGAAAUUAUACACUGCACUGAUUUUAAUUUUGAAGUACUGAUUUAUUAUUUUAAAACAUGAAAACUAUGAAAACACUUAUAAACUUGAUAACUAUUUUGCUUUUGUAGUAUUUAAAUGAGAGAGAAUGAAAAAUUAACUUUUAGACGAGAACUUAACUUACAAAACGGUGAAAAUGCUGAGAGUGACGAAAAUAAGUGAGAGAAAAUGUGAGAGAAAUAACGGGGAUUGUGCCACUAAUUCCCUCCUAGAGCGUCAAACCCUCGUGACGACCUGUCGAAUUUGAGUAUGUAUAAGUAUUGUACGUACUUACAGUUUACAGGAUUUUGCGGUGUGUAGGCAAAUGGUUCAGUUUCCUAUUUUUUAUGGAUGUGAAAUUAUACACUGCACUGAUUUUAAUUUUGAAGUACUGAUUUAUCAUUUUAAAACAUGUAAACUAUGAAAAACACUUAUAAACUUGAUAACUAUUUUGCUCUUGUAGUAUUUAAAUGAGAGAGAAUGAAAAAUUAACUUUUAGACGAGAACUUAACUUACAAAACGGUGAAAAUGCUGAGAGUGACGAAAAUAAGUGAGAGAAAAUGUGAGAGAAAUAACGGGGAUUGUGCCACUAAUUCCCUCCUAGAGCGUCAAACCCUCGUGACGACCUGUCGAAUUUGAGUAUGUAUAAGUAUUGUACGUACUUACAGUUUACAGGAUUUUGCGGUGUGUAGGCAAAUGGUUCAGUUUCCUAUUUUUUAUGGAUGUGAAAUUAUACACUGCACUGAUUUUAAUUUUGAAGUACUGAUUUAUUAUUUUAAAACAUGAAAACUAUGAAAACACUUAUAAACUUGAUAACUAUUUUGCUUUUGUAGUAUUUAAAUGAGAGAGAAUGAAAAAUUAACUUUUAGACGAGAACUUAACUUACAAAACGGUGAAAAUGCUGAGAGUGAUAGAGUGGCGUGGCGUUACUUGCUUCCAACUUUUUGGAGAGGCCGGAAGUGGAAGUGAUUUUUCGGAAGUGGAAAUGCGAUUUUUUGAGGGACCGGAAGUUUUGGAAGUGGCCUUUGACAACAUAAAUAUUUAGACAUUUAUAAUUCUAUGUUUUAAGAAGCAUCUGUUUUGACCUACGACCAGUUCGGCGUGAGAUAUACCUAAUUGUAAAAAUAUUACUUUAUUAAAAUAAUAUAUGACGAGAGUUUAA